CGACCGGCGCACGGGUGAGUAACACGUAUCCAACCUGCCGAUGACUCGGGGAUAGCCUUUCGAAAGAAAGAUUAAUACCCGAUGGCAUAGUUCUUCCGCAUGGUAGAACUAUUAAAGAAUUUCGGUCAUCGAUGGGGAUGCGUUCCAUUAGCUUGUUGGCGGGGUAACGGCCCACCAAGGCAUCGAUGGAUAGGGGUUCUGAGAGGAAGGUCCCCCACAUUGGAACUGAGACACGGCCAAACUCCUACGGAAGGCAGCAG
rnacentral:rRNA from 1 species